CCUACGGGUGGCAGCAGUGAGGAAUAUUGGUCAAUGGCCGUAAGGCUGAACCAGCCAAGUCGCGUGAAGGAAGAAGGAUCUAUGGUUUGUAAACUUCUUUUAUAGGGGAAUAAAGGUAUCCACGUGUGGAUAUUUGCAUGUACCCUAUGAAUAAGCAUCGGCUAACUCCGUUCCAGCAGCCGCGGUAAUACGGAGGAUGCGAGCGUUAUCCGGAUUUAUUGGGUUUAAAGGGAGCGUAGGUUGUUCUGUACGUCGGCGGUGAAAGUUUGUGGCUCAACCAUGAAAUUGCCGUUGAAACUGGGGGACUUGAGUGUGUAUGAGGAGAGUGGAAGUCGUGGGGUAGCGGUGAAAUGCAUAGAUAUCA
rnacentral:rRNA from 1 species